rnacentral:rRNA from 1 species
GUGGGGAAUCUUAGACAAUGGGCGCAAGCCUGAUCUAGCCAUGCCGCGUGAUCGAUGAAGGCCUUAGGGUUGUAAAGAUCUUUCAGCUGGGAAGAUAAUGACUGUACCAGCAGAAGAAGCCCCGGCUAACUCCGUGCCAGCAGCCGCGGUAAUACGGAGGGGGCUAGCGUUAUUCGGAAUUACUGGGCGUAAAGCGCACGUAGGCGGAUUGGAAAGUCAGAGGUGAAAUCCCAGGGCUCAACCUUGGAACUGCCUUUGAAACUCCCAGUCUUGAGGUCGAGAGAGGUAAGUGGAAUUCCGAGUGUAGAGGUGAAAUUCGUAGAUAUUCGGAGGAACACCAGUGGCGAAGGCGGCUCACUGGCUCGAUACUGACGCUGAGGUGCGAAAGCGUGGGGAGCAAACAGGAUUAGAUACCCUAGUAGUCC